UGGUAGGCAGCUACAGGCAGGCACCAGGGAAACAGUUACUUGAGAUAAGUACUUGACUGUAACAGUGUGAGUUCUGUCUGAGCUGUGAAUGUGCAGAGAGGGACGUUACACCCUAUACUGGUCACACUCACUUCUUUGGGACUCCGCCAAAGAAAGAAAUUAACUGCACAUUGUAGGAGAGGAAAUAUUUACAAGUCAAGGGACGGAAGUGUUAGAAGAAACGUAUCCUGGAGCUGAGGGAAGAGCACUUCAUUUCAGUGUCCUUAUACCCUGGGACUGGGUUUGCAAGAGUGUUUGUUGUGGCUUUAAAUUUGUGAGCAGUCAAUCCACUGGAGAGAGAGAAAAACUAGAAAAACUAGUAUACAAUGGCUACCUGUACAUGUGUUCUAUGGUGCAUAUUUUGGAUAGUGGUCUUGAUUUUCUUGGCUUGGCCACUAAGCAUCUUCCUCGGCGGUCUCUAUGGAUUCCUUGCACCCCUCACAACUUGUAUUGGAUUGGAUCAGGUGACAGACUUGCUGCUCCAAGGAGUUAACUUGGGCCGAACCUGCGCUGAAUAUGCACGUGCAGGCAAGUCUCUGUGCUGAACUGGAGACCUACACCAGCAGUGCCCUGAUCAAAGCUUCAUCUCAAGACAAGGACACACCUAAUAUGCUAAAUAAUUCCUACUAGUCCUCAAAGGCAAUUAUAUUGUAUAUUGGGGCCACAUUAUGGCAUGUCAAAUUCUGACAAUUGGUGAUUUUGUUUUUACAGGUUUUUUUUAAGGAAGAAUAUAUUUAACAUCAAAGCUAUGUCUUUUCUUUGGGACCACAUGUUUUCAUGUAACAGAUAUUCUAACUCAGCUUGUCCAGUAUUGCAUGAUGGGACUUUAAUUUCCUCUUUAUAAUAUGAAGUCAUGGAGAUAUUCAAUAAAGAUUACUUGGUUAAUAA